GUGUGCUGCAUGUCACGUGUGUGCUGCAUGUCACGGGUGUGCUGCACGCUGUGCCGUGUGUCACAACAGGGGCUGCAUGUCACGUGCUACGUGUGCUGCAACGUGUGCUGCAACAUGUGCUGCAUGCCAUGCACCUGGUGCUCCAUGCAUGCUGCUGUGUGUGCUGUGUGCUGCAUGCCAUGCAUCAUGCCAUGUUCUGUGUGCUUUGUGCCGUGUGCUGCGUGCCAUGCAUCGUGCCAUGUUCUGUGUGCCAUGUGCUGCAUGUCAUGCAUCAUACCAUGUUCUGCGUGCCGUGUGCUGCGUGCAAUGCGUCAUGCUAUGUUGUAUGUUGUGUGCCGUGUGCCAUGCACCAUGCCAUGUUCUGUGUGCCGUGUGCUUUGUGCCGUGUGCUUUGUGCCAUGUUCUGUAUGUUGUUGUUGUGUGCCAUGCAUCAUGCCAUGUUCUGUAUGCUGUGUGUGCUGUGCCAUGUGCUGUGUGCCAUGCGUCAUGCUAUGUUGUAUGUUGUGUGCCAUGUGCCAUGUGCUUUGUGCCACGUUCUGUAUGUUGUUGCUGCAUGCCAUGCAUCAUGCCAUGUUCUGUGUGCUGUGUGCUGUGCCACGUGCUGCAUGCCAUGCAUCAUGCUAUGUUACACGUGCCACGUGCCAUGCAUCAUGCCAUGUUCUGUGUGCCAUGUGCUUUGUGCCACGUUCUGUAUGUUGUUGCUGUGUGCCAUACAUCAUGCCACGUUCUGUGUGCUGUGUGUGCUGUGCCAUGUGCUGCGUGCCAUGCGUUAUGCCAUGUUCUGUGUGCCAUGCACCAUGCCAUGUGCUGUGUGCCAUGUGCUUUGUGCCACGUUCUGUAUGUUGUUGCUGUGUGCCAUACAUCAUGCCACGUUCUGUGUGCUGUGUGUGCUGUGCCAUGUGCUGCAUGCCAUGCGUCAUGCCAUGUCCUGUGUGCCAUGUGCUGCGUGCCACGCAUCAUGCUAUGUUGUAUGUUGUGUGCUGUGUGCCAUGCACCAUGUUCUGUGUGCCAUGUGCUGUGUGCCAUGCGUCAUGCUAUGUUGUAUGUUGUGUGCCAUGUGCCAUGCGCCAUGCCAUGUUCUGCCUGCCACGUGCUUUGUGCCAUGCAUCAUGCCAUGUGCUGUGUGCUGUGUGCUGUGCCACGUGCUGCAUGCCAUGCAUCGUGCUAUGUUACACGUGCCACGUGCCAUGCAUCAUGCCAUGUUCUGUGUGCCAUGCUGUGUGUGCCGUGUGCCGCGUGCCAUGCAACAUGCCAUGUUGUGUGUUCCGUGUGCCGCGUUGCAAGGUGUGCUGCGUGUUGUGCGUCGUGUGCUGCGCACCGUGCGCUACGUGCCACAACAGCUGUGUGCCGUGUGUUGUGUGUUGCGUGUUGUGUGCUGCACGCCAUGCAUCGCGCGUCGUGUGCUGUGUGCGCCGUGCUGUGCCGUGUGCUGUGUGUCACACGCAGAUCCGUGCGCCGUUCCGUGUGCCGCUCACCGAUGUGUGCACUGUUCCGUGUGCAUUUCCCCACGCGCCGUUCCGUGCAGCGUUCCGUGUGCUGUUCCGUGUGCCGUGCGCCAUUCUGUGUGCGCUCUUCUGGGUGCUGCUCCACGCACUAUUCCACGUGCACUAUUCCAUGUGCACUAUUCCAUGUGCACCGUUCCAUGCACCGUUCCAUGCACCAUUCCAUGCGCCCCAUUCCAUGUGCACUGUUCCAUGUGCACCGUUCCCUGUGCGCCAUUCUGUGCACCAUUCCAUGUACCAUUCCACGUGCACCGUUCCAUUCACUGUUCCAUGCACCAUUCCAUGUGCAGCAUUCCAUGUGCACUAUUCCAUGUGCACUGUUCCAUGUGCACCAUUCCACACACACCAUUCCGUGUGCACCAUUCCGUGUGCACCGUUCCGUGUGCACCGUUCCGUGUGCACCGUUCCAUGCCAUUCCGUGUGCACGGUUCCGUGCGCGGUUCCGUGUUGCACCCCCUGACCUCUCUCCUCUCUCCCCUCCACAGCACUGGUGCAAAAAGGUGGGUGUGAGUGCACGUGUGUGAGAGCACGUGUGUGAGUGCACGUGUGUGUGAGGAUGUGUGUCUAAUUGCACAUGUGUGAGAGCACAUGUGUGUGAGAGCACGUGUGUGAGUGCAUGUGUGUGUGAGGACAGGUGUCUAAUUGCACGUGUGUGAGAGCACGUGUGUGUGAGUGCACAUGUGUGAGCGUGUGUGUGAGUGCAUGUGUGUGUGAGGACGUGUGUAUAAUUGCACGUCUGUGGGAGCACAUGUGUGUGAGUGCACGUGUGUGUGAGUGCAUGUGCGUGUGAGCACGUGUGUGCAAGAGCACAUGUGUGAGUGCAUGUGUGUGAGUGCACGUGUGAGAGCACGUGUGUGUGAGCACGUGUUUUGAGUGCACGUGUGUGUGAGAGCAUGUGUGUGUGAGAGCACGUGUGUGUGGGUGCACAUGUGCGUAUGAGUCCAUGUGUGAGACAGCAUGUGUGUGAGAACACGUGUGUGUGAGUGCAUGUGUGUGAGCACAUGUGUGUGAGUGCAUGUGUGUCUGUGUGUGUGAGUGCAUGUCUGAGUGCACGUGCGUGAGUGCGUGUGUGUGAGUGCACACGUGUGUGUGAGUGCACACGUGUGUGUGCGCAGCUGUACGUGCCUGUGAGUGCGUGUGUGUGAGUGCACACGUGUGUGUGAGUGCACACGUGUGUGUGUGCGCAUCUGUACAUGCAUGUGAGUGCAUGUGUGUGAGUGCACACGUGUGUGCGAGUACCCGUGUGUGUGUGCGCAUCUGUACGUGCAUGUGAGUGCAUGUGUGUGAGUGCACACGUGUGUGCGCGCAGCUGUACGUGCAUGUGAGUGCGUGUGUGUGAGUGCACACGUGUUUGCAGCUGUGAGCGCACACGUGUGUGCGUGCGUGUGAGCGGACACGUAUGUGAGUGCACAUGUAUGUGUGCACGUGUGUGAGCGUGCGUGUGCCCCCCAUUCACACCU
rnacentral:lncRNA from 1 species